rnacentral:rRNA from 1 species
UGCUUUUGUCUUUCCGUAUGUGGACUUGGAUGCUGUCGUGAUAUUCACGACUCGUCUGAAAUGCCUGAGUGUACCCCGCUUUGCGGCGUAUUCGGUGUGAUACAUCUUCACCGGAGUUGAUCCUUUUGGGUCGCGUCUGUAAUGGUGUGGCUAUAUGCUUCGAACCGUCUCUCCCAGAGACAACCUCUGACAAUUUGACCUCAAAUCGGGUGGGACUACCCGCUGAACUUAAGCAUAUCAAUAAGCGGAAGAAAAGAAACUAACAAGGAUUCCCCUAGUAACGGCGAGUGAAGAGGGAAAAGCUCAAAUUUUGAAUCUGGUGUCUUUGACUCCCGAGUUGUAAUCUAGAGAAGUGUUUUCCGUGUCGGACCGUGCACAAGUUCCCUGGAACGGGGCGUCAUAGAGGGUGAGAAUCCCGUAUAUGGCAUGGACUACCGAUGCUUUUGUGAUACACUCUCAACGAGUCGAGUUGUUUGGGAAUGCAGCUCAAAAUGGGUGGUAAAUUCCAUCUAAAGCUAAAUAUUGGCGAGAGACCGAUAGCGAACAAGUACCGUGAGGGAAAGAAGAAAAGCACUUUGGAAAGAGAGUGAAACAGUACGUGAAAUUGUCGAAAGGGAAGCGUUUGAAGUCAGUCAUGUCUGUCGGAAUUCAGCCUGGCUUCUGCCUGGUGUACUUUCCGUCCGACGGGUCAGCAUCAAUUUUGACCGAGGGAAAAAGACGUUCGGAAUGUGGCUGUCUUCGGGCAGUGUUAUAGCCCUGCGUUGUAUGUCUCGGUUGGGACUGAGGAAUGCAGCGCGCCUAUAGGCCGGGGGUUCGCGCCCCUCGACGCGCGCUUAGGAUGCUGGCAUAAUGGCUUAA